GGUUAGCGAGGCCACCCCCGCCCGCACCCAUUCAUGUAUUUUGUAUUAUAAAAUGACUGCCGUCGUCAUGGCAACAUAAAAGGAGCCGAUCUCAUUACUGGGGCCCGGACACAUUAUUUUCUCCAAGGAAUUUCUUCUUUUCAUUAUUUCUCUCCAAAGGAGAGCGAGCUGAGCCUCUCACAUUCACAAGAGCCCUUCUGGCACUCAGAACAGCGCCCCCAGAAGCAGAGCUCAGUAAGUCCUGGUGAUGGGACUGAGUGUGUUCUCAGAUACAGACGAUGAUGCAGGAGGUCCAGAGGAGAAGGAAAAAUUGAAUCCAGCAUGGUGGGCACUGCUCCUGGCCCCUGCUCUGGAAGGUCCCACACUCUGCCAGGCUCAGCACAGCACCUUUGUUUGGUAUCUUUGUCCAUUUGGAAGGCUCACCAUGGGGGACGCCGAGUUGCCACAGCAGAGCUUUGCCGGAGGGCCACUGGACCACAGCAUGGGACAUGUCAUCUUUACAGAUCUGGAGCCCUCGUCAGCUGCCCUGAGUAUGAUGUGGGAUCUUGCCAGUGAGGGGGCUGCUGGACCCUGACUCCUCUGAGGGAUGGGGGAAUAAGGGUGAGUCACUAACUUCUACCCUGAGAAAAAAAGACGGCCACCAGUGAGGUCUGAGGUGAUAGUUGGCCGGGUCGAGCCCCAGGUCUGCAGAGAAGCUCCCAGCGUUGCCCUCCACCUCCCACCCUUGCAGCCCCCUCACCCUCUAUCCCCCACCUCAAAACUCUCCACUCACAAAACAUCUUC
rnacentral:lncRNA from 9 species